GAUGAACGCUAGCGGCAGGCUUAAUACAUGCAAGUCGAGGGGCGGCAGGGCUGUAGCAAUACAGUUGCUGGCGACCGGCAAACGGGUGCGGAACACGUACGCAACCUUCCUUCAAAUGGGGGAUAGCCCACCGAAAGGUGGAUUAAUACCCCGUAAAAUUUUUGGGUGGCAUCACCUGAUUAUUAUAGCUCCGGCGUUUGAAGAUGGGCGUGCGCCUGAUUAGGUAGUUGGCGGAGUAACAGCCCACCAAGCCUACGAUCAGUAACUGGUGUGAGAGCACGACCAGUCACACGGGCACUGAGACACGGGCCCGACUCCUACGGGAGGCAGCAGUAAGGUAUAUUGGUCAAUGGACGCAAGUCUGAACCAGCCAUGCCGCGUGGAGGAUGAAGGUCCUCUGGAUUGUAAACUUCUUUUAUCGGAGAAGAAACCCAUACUUUCUAGUGUGGUUGACGGUACCCGAUGAAUAAGCACCGGCUAACUCCGUGCCAGCCGCCGCCGUAACAC
rnacentral:rRNA from 1 species